UUUCCGUAGGUGAACCUGCGGAAGGAUCAUUAGUGAACAUAGGACGUCCAACUUAACUUGGAGUCCGAACUCUCACUUUCUAACCCUGUGCACUUGUUUGGGAUAGUAGUCGACCUAGUCGACGAACUCCUAUUCACUUAUAAACACAAAGUCUAUGAAUGUAUUUAAUUUUAUAACAAAAUAAAACUUUCAACAACGGAUCUCUUGGCUCUCGCAUCGAUGAAGAACGCAGC
rnacentral:misc_RNA from 1 species